UAGACUACAAUCGAUUCUUAUUAUGAGUUUACUUAUAUGUGAGCAACGGUAACCCUGUGCGUAGUUUUUUUUUAUGUUUAGUAAAUACUUCUUCGUCACAUAUACUCGUAAUAAGUAAAUAAUAAUCAAUAAAUAAAAAAUUUUACAGUUCUUUCUCAAAUUUUCUACUUAAAAUAUUUUUAAAAAUGCUUCAUUGUUUAAGCGCAGAAAAGAAACGCUAAGAGUAAAAAGAAUAGCUCGUUUGGAGUACUAUUUCGACGAAGUAAUAUUUCCGACAAAUAAGUGGUAUACCUAUUGGAAUAUACAAAUUGUCUUGUAGACGAUGUUACUGUGGUAACUGAACUACACGCACACGCAAAGAUAUUGAAAAGUUAUAUCGGCGUAUUUUAAUACAUUAAGACGAUAGGAGAUUCCAAAUCACUUAAUGGAGAACCUCUGGAACGCGAUCUGUCCCAUGUCUGGCCGUAAAACGUCUUCAGAAAAUUUUUAACGAAAACGAAAUCUUUUGAGUUUUAAUGAAAACUAGUCGAAGUUCUAACACCUCAAAUUAAAAGAAAGAGAAGGUGAAGUUUACAUUUAUAGCGUUUUACAUGCCUCGUGCAGCUGACUCUGUAGUUCGAGGAACCUAUGAGGAACUAGUAGUGAAUCGUGAAGAUCUGCAUAUCUCAGUGACAUGGUGGAAAAACAAUCUACGUGUCACAUUAGGGUCAACUUAUAUAGAUUGAAUCAGCCGCAACUGUCAAAAGAUAUGAUAAAAACACAAAAGAAACAAAUCUCCAUAGCCUGUUCAAAAAUAAUGAAAAAUUACAAUGCGAUUUGGAAAUACGCAAUAUGGGAGGAACGUAAUGGAUCAAAAGUCGUGCUUGUAAAUCGGAACACGCAUUGAUAUUACGCAGAUAGAAGCUAAAAAACACCGAAGUCCCACGAAGCCUGUCCCAUGCAGCCUGUCUCACCGAAAGAUACACGAACUGGAGCCAUAAGCUGUGAUGAAGAAUGGUACAGUUCUAAAUACAGACGUAAACUUGAAGGUUGCAAAGGUUUUUCAGAGACUGAGUGCAUCACAUCCAAGAUAUUGUUUUGCUAUAUU